UAAUUAUUUUAAAUUUUAAAUUUUUAAAAUUUUAAAUUAUUUUUAAAAUUAAAAUAUCAAAUUUUAAAUUUUGUAUAAUUUUGAAAUUUAAAAAUUUUAACUGUCAUUCAAAUUUAAAUUUAGAUUUUAAGUUAUUUUAAAAUAAAAUUUAAUAAAAAUAUUAAUUUAUGCAAACAUAAAAAAAAUUUGCCAAACAGAUUUUCAAAAUCAUUUCAGAAAAAUCACUUUUAUCUAAACUACGCCAAACAUUUUACAGCUUUUAACGAAAAUCACUUCUCCAAACCAAAAUCACUUUUUCAGAAAUCACUUUUUUAGAAGCUAGGCCAAAUAGGCCCUAAGGUUGUAUCUUCAUGACCUUUUAUCUCUCAUGUUAAUUGCGGAAGUUAUCGUCCUUCCGAGACAUCGUUGUUAUCCUCAUCGGCAGCGACACGUCAUCGUCAUCACAUUCACCGAUUAUCAUCGUCUUUGCUAGCACAUCGUCAUCGUCACCUUUGCCACCACUUCGUCGUCAUCUUACGCAACAGAACAAUUAUUUUUCUGACAAUUGGAAAGGUAUUUUGGUCCUACUCGAUAUUCUCAAUCUAUACCUAAUUCUUCAUUUUAGUUUCUAAAUUAGAUUUACUAACUAAGUGCACGUGCAAUACAUAUUGCAUAAAAUAUUAAA
rnacentral:lncRNA from 1 species